rnacentral:tRNA from 1 species
CCUGGUGGCUCAAAGGUUAAAGCGUCUGCCUGGAAUGCAGGAGACCGGGGUUUGAUCCCUAAGCCAGGA